GCCGGGUGUGGUGGCUCACGCCUGUAAUCCUAGCACUAUGGGAGGCUGAGGCGGGUGGAUCACUUGAGGUCAGGAGUUCAAGACCAGCCUGGCCAACAUGGUGAGACCCUGUCUCUA
rnacentral:sRNA from 1 species